AUACUUACCUGGAAGGGGUCAAUGGUUGAUCAUGAAUGACCAUGGCCUAGGAGAGUGACCUUCAUUGCAUUUAGGAGGGGGUGCUUGCUAUCCUAAGGUCUAUCCACAUGGUGGAACCUACAUCAUAAUUUGGAAUUGUAUCAUAAGAUUCUUACUACAAU